rnacentral:rRNA from 1 species
GACGAACGCUGGCGGCGUGCUUAACACAUGCAAGUCGAACGGACAGGCCCUGCUUUUGCUGUGCUGGCGUUGGGAACGGACGGGUGAGUAACACGUGGACAACCUCCCUCUAAGGCUUGAGUAACGUAGGGAGGGCGGAGCAAAUACCAGAUAACAUGUUGAGCCGCAGGGGUGGACAGUUAAAUAUCGGCAUGGGGUGAGCUCUCGGCGGAUCCGCGGCGUAGUAGCGUGUUGGUCAGGUAACGGCUUACCAAGGCGACGAUGCGUAGCCGACGUGAGAGGGUGAUCGGCCACACUGGAAGGGAGACACGGUCCAGACUCCUACGGGGGGCAGCAGUAGGGGGUCGUCAGCAAUGGGGGAAAGCCUGACGGAGCAACGACGCGGGUGUGGAGAAGGUGUGCGGAGCGUGAAGCUCUUUUAGUAGGGAAGAACAAAUGUGUAAGUAACUGUGCAUGUGUUGACGGUACCUGAAGAGGAAGCCACGGCUAACUACGUG